rnacentral:tRNA from 1 species
GGGGCAAUAGCUCAGUUGGGAGAGCGCAGCAAUCGCACUGCUGAGGUCGGGGGUUCGAAUCCCCCUUGCUCCACCA